GUCAUUUGCAUUUUUUGGAUGUGCAGAGACUAGUCCACCAAUGAUUCCAGCUUCAGCACAGAGAUACCGAUAAUGAUUGAUUUCAGAUUGUUUGCUCUUUUCUGCACAGAGUUCAGGUUCUUUCUUGCACUCAGCUUCAGCGGAUUGCUAAUUAUGGCAACUAUUUUCUAGACAGCCAAACACAGGGCUUCAGGACCUGCACCAUGUGGGAAGCACAAAAGGCUCUUCUGAAGAGGUGGGCGAGUAUGUGUUGCCUCAAGUGCCAGUCGACAUUGCUGUGGAGGUGAAGACAGUGAAAAAAGGCGAUGUUCCAGACCGGUUGAGGAGGAGAAUUGUAGACUGGAUUUUCUACGACUUAUCAUCACGUGGAAUGUACCCAAAAAGGAUUUACAAUGCCGCAGCCAGGUCCCUGGUGGCUUUAUACCCGCAGUUGAAGGACAGCUCUGACAAUGGCUACUUUUCAUGGUUGCUAUCUCUCAAAAACAAAUUUAAGAAUGUUCGCAAACGGAUGCCACCUGGGUGUCCUGAAGUUGAUGCACAAAAGGAUAAAGUACGAAUGCGAAAACUGGGUGACGGCUGUGAUCAGCAAAGAGUACCAU